GCCGGUGUGGUGUAAGUGGAGAACAUCCCGCACGUCCUGAGGAGAUCUGGGUUCGAACCCCAGCACUGGCA